rnacentral:rRNA from 1 species
UACGUAGGGACCAAGCGUUGUUCGGAUUUACUGGGCGUAAAGCGCGCGUAGGCGGGUUGCUAAGUCCGCUGUGAAAGCCCGAGGCUUAACCUCGGAGGGUCGGUGGAUACUGGCAGUCUUGAAGGUGGUAGAGGGAAGUGGAAUUACCGGUGUAGCGGUGAAAUGCGUAGAUAUCGGUAGGAACACCAGUGGCGAAGGCGGCUUCCUGGCCCACUCUGACGCUGAGGCGCGAAAGCUGGGGAGCGAACGGG